AAUUAAAUGGACGCUAAUAAAUUAUAGUCGCCUUGCCGUUGCCUUGGAGGCUCGGAGCAUCUCUCUUUAUCUGCCGUCUAGAUACGACUGGAAAAACAGUUUUUUCCCGAAUUAUUGUAAAGUUGUGGUCAAAGUUCAACAUGUACACUACAGAAGCAGUGAUCGAGUUUUUGGGUUGUGUGCCGUUGCUUCAGAGGCUCCCGAGCUUGUCUCUCCGGAAAAUCGCACAAGUUGUUACUGUUAAACACUACGAACCACAUGAGUAUGUUGUUCGUGAAGGAGAGGCUGGGAAUGGAAUCUACUUCAUAUGGGAAGGCGAGGCGGAGGUGUCUGGCUAUGUCCAAGCAGAUGAGCAUAAUAGGCCAGAGUUCCAACUUAAACGUUAUGACUACUUUGGCAAUGGUGUGGCAGUAUCUGCACAGCAAGCAGAUGUCAUUGCACUUACUAAGUUGACCUGCUUAGUAUUGCCCCAAGAGCAUUGCAGUUUGUUGCAGUCAAAGUCAAUCUGGAGUGCAGACAAAACACUAGAAUCAUGUUCACUUGUAGAGAGCAUAUUGCAUCUUGAGCCUAUAGAAGUCAACAUUUUUAAAGGGAUCACGUUGCCUGAUGCUCCACGUUUUGGGAAAGUGUUUGGUGGACAGUUCAUUGGACAGGCGCUGGCUGCAGCAUCAAAAACUGUUGAUUCACUCAAGAUUGUUCAUAGCUUACAUGUUUACUUUCUUCUUGUUGGGGAUCUUGAAAUUCCAAUUAUAUAUCAUGUUCAUCGCGUACGCGAUGGCAAUAGUUUUGCUACACGAAGGAUAGAUGCAAUACAAAAGGGAAAUGUUGUGUUCACAAUGAUUGCUUCAUUUCAGAAAGAAGAAGUAGGGUUUGAUCACCAGUUACCCUCUAUGCCAGCUGUCCCUGAUCCAGAACUGCUUUUAUCAAUGGAAGAUUUGCGUGAGAGGCGCCUUACCGAUCCUCGUCUUCCCAGGACUUACAGAAACAAAGUUGCCACAGCAAAGUUUAUUCCUUGGCCUAUUGAGAUAAGAUUUUGUGAGCCUAGCAAUUCAACCAACUACGAUAAACGUCCUGCAAGUUUGAGGUACUGGUUUAAAGCGAAAGGAAAACUCUCAGAUGAUGAGGCUUUGCAUAGAUGUGUUGCAGCAUACACUUCAGAUCUCAUAUUUCUAAAUGUCAGUCUGAAUCCUCACCGCAGUAAGGGCUUGAAAACCUCUUCUGUUAGCUUAGAUCACUCGUUUAACCGGUUGCCUUGCCUAUGUGGCAUCCACCUUGAACAAAUUCUGAUUAGACUAUGUCCAUGUGGAGCUGACAUGACGUCUAUGUGGACUUUGUUACUUAAUUUAAAAUUGAUUACAUUAUAUUUUUGGUCCCUGAUUAUAGCUGAUACUUGCAUUUUUGGUCCCAAGAAGUUCUGUUGCAAAAUUUGGUCCUUAGUUAAGGUUUUUGUAACAUUUUUUUUUGUCUGUGUUCCAAGUAAAUGAAUAAAUUGCAAAAAUCAGCGAUACUCAGGGAUCAAAAAUAGUCAUUUUACUUGGAACAUGGACCGAAAUCUUACAUGAUCCUCCCCAAAAUAACAAGUUAACAUUUUGGGAUUAAAACUGCUAGUAUCAGCUAUAAUCAAGGACCAAAAAUGUAAUUUCCUCUUUGAAGUUCUAAAAACUUAAAAAUCAAUAGUAAAUUACCUUUUUGGUACCUGAGUUUGUUUUCAGUUUUGGUCCCAAAUAGUUUCCAAAAUUGCAGAGGAAACUAUUGAAAAUACAGUUUUUAAACAAUCUCAGGGUCCAUAAUCGUUACAACAAUUGAAAAUAGGCACUAAAAGUGCAAAAGGAAACUAUUUGGGACCAGAACUGCAAUUUUUGUACAAACUCAGGGACCAAAAAUGUAAUUUACUCAAAAAUUAAUAUUAACUUUUUAUCACUUUUUUGAUUGCUAAAACUUUUAUGUUUUAAAAAAUCUAUAAUUCAAGUAUAUAUAUAAAAAACUAACUUUAUAAGUUAUAAAAAACUGAAAAAUAAGUCAAAAGUACUAAUUUAGCGCCACAUAGACAUAGUCUGAUCAAAAUUUGUCCAGGGUGGAUUCCAUGUAGGCAAGGCAACCGCUUAAAGUAAACCUGCAAUAGCAUGUUACGAUGGUAUAAAUAAUAGAGAUACAAAAGGAUGUGGUUUCACCGGCCUUUUAGAGCUGACGAGUGGUUGUUGUUUGUGAUAUCGAGUCCAACUGCAUACAAUGCACGUGGAUUCGUGAGUGGCCAAAUGUUCAACAGAAAAGGAGAGGUAUGC